GGUCUUAUAGUGUAGUGGUUAUCACUCAGGAUUUUGAUGUCUAAUUAGCUUCCUGGAACCCAGGUUCGAACCCUGGUAAGACCU